AAUACAGCAUAAUACAAUACAGUGUGUCAAAUACAACCUUAUAGCAUUUGGAUUCACAAGGAAACAAAACCAAACCAAGAUUUAUAAAAAUUAAGAAAAUAAGUAAAUAAAUAAGUGCUUGGGCUACACUGACUACAAAUGGCGCAAAGUGGUAAGUCGCGACAAUAUAUUGACGUUAAAUAGGAAAGACCAAAUCGGCAGUUGUCCUCGGCGAUGAAAUUAAUAAUGCCUACGCAAAGAAUUUGGAAACACAUCCAUCCUAACGAAUGCUAAAGACAAUAAAUUUUUUAUGCGCCAAAGGUCAUCAGAGCCCACCGUUUCUUUAGCCUCUUUUUUUUUUUUUUCUGGUUUUGUUCAGAAACGUUCGAUGCUUUGGGCUUAUACUUUCAAUAGAAAAACCAAAUUCUGUGAAGGAUAAUUUCAUUUAAAACUCACGGUUUUCCUGUAUAAAAGGAACGAGUCAAUGUUUAGUUAUUUAUAUAGAUUCAUUCUUUUAAUUGGUAAUAUAUCUUUUAAAAUCAUGUAAAAAAUUUUGGGAUUCAACUGUCAAUUAGAUGAGGCAUUAUUUGCAUUUGGUAUUGAGAUGAGGUAAUUAAAUUCACAAUUACAACAUCUCUCAUUAAUAUUGCUAUUAAAUAAAUUUGUU
rnacentral:lncRNA from 1 species